rnacentral:rRNA from 1 species
UACGGAGGGUGCAAGCGUUAUCCGGAUUCACUGGGUUUAAAGGGUGCGUAGGCGGGUAAGUAAGUCCGUGGUGAAAUCUCUGAGCUUAACUCAGAAACUGCCGUGGAUACUAUUUGCCUUGAAUAUUGUGGAGGUGAGCGGAAUAUGUCAUGUAGCGGUGAAAUGCUUAGAUAUGACAUAGAACACCAAUUGCGAAGGCAGCUCACUACACAAUCAUUGACGCUGAGGCACGAGAGCGUGGGGAUCAAACAGG